AUGUCCUCUCCUUUCGAUUUCAGGAUCUUUGAGAGGAGGCGAUUAGGGGCUGCACCGCCGUCGCCAUGUGUCCCUGCUGCACCGCCGCCUCCUACCCAAGUGCCUCCCGGUGGGCAACUGGAUGUGCCGCCUCCGCCGCCGUCGAGCCAGCCUUCUCGGCUCUGCGGGCCGCCCCACAGAAAACCCUCCCGUGUUUACUGUCUCCGCUCCUAUGCGGCAGCCUCUCGGCAUCAUCUCUCCCCUUCCCGUCGUUUGCCCUCUCGAUCUGCAGGGCCUCUAUCUUGCAGUCGACUGCUGGCGACCUUGAACCCCGGUACGCGUGCCACAGCGGCCUCUUCGGAAUGUCAGAUUCAGUUACAGUCUAUAGGGAUAGAACAUUCAGAUCAGAGAUCGAAUGAAGCUCCAAAUCAAUCCAAAUCAUACACCAUUCAUACUAACCUACAGGUACGAUAA
rnacentral:rRNA from 1 species